UGCCUGCUCUAUACACUAGGAAACAUUAUGUGGAACAGCAAAUUUGCUUUCCAAGUCAAACUGAAGAAAACCACACAAUAAUUAUCUAGAAUUAACUUACUGAAUUUAAAGAGGAAUAUACUUGAACUGCCUGACAAAUUAUGCAUUAAGAACAAACCAAGAGAAAAACAAAACAAACAUCACACCAUAAUAUUUUUGUAAAAAGUUUUGAAAGACAAGUGUUUCAUCGUCUUGAGAACGCUGACUUAUGAUGCCCUUGAUUGGCAUUAAGGAAACAAACUCUGGGAAAGAAUGAUGACGUCCUGUUAUAUUCUCAUCUUUGUAUUGCUCUCUCAAGAAAUAUGGGGGAGGAGGAGCCAGAAGAAGAAACAGCUCGAAGAAUUGACUAUUGUUGCCUCUGGCAAAUGGGAUGAGGAAAUGGGAAGUUAUGAGACAAGGAAAUGAUGAGUUUCAUUACAAGCCUAGAAGUAAUUAAGCGUUUAUGUUACUCAUUUGUACUAUUUUCACUUAAGACAAUGAAAAUUUAUAAUUUCUAAAGAGCAGAAAAGAGCUCGGAAAGGUUACCUGCUUGGUAACCAAUGGCUGUAUGAUAUGUUGCCUGACUGUUAAAUCCAGAAACUGUCAAAAGAUGGGUUUUGUUUAGGUUGAGCCAGACUUUCUCCAGAAGGAGUAACGCACCAAAGGAUCUGUCUGACUCCCACCCCCAUGACCACCUCUAUUUCUGCUCAUCUCCAGCUUGACCGCUGGACCUUCAGGCAGGUCUUCCCUUGUCCCACAGCCAAGUGUUGCCCCUCUCCAUUCAUCUCUUCUACUAUUAUCAUCAGCUGAGUCAGAAAUAGAAGACUCAGUGGACACAAAAAAAGACUAGCUGCCAUUCUGAGCUAGAGGCUGCUUCAGAGGAAGACAGCUGACUUCACUGACCACCCACUCAGUCCCAGGCACUGGACUCUGGGCACCUUU
rnacentral:lncRNA from 10 species